AGCAACAGUAGAAUCUCAAAAAGAAAGUACAGCCGACUCUUGAACAACACAGGUUUGAACUGCAGGCGUACACUAUACAUGUAUUUUCUUCCCCCUCUGCCACUCCUGAGACAGCAAGGCCAACCUCCCCUCUUCCUCCUCCUCUUCACCCUACUCACAGUGAAGACAACAAGAAUGAAGACCUUUAUGAGGAUCCACUUCCACUUAAUGAAUAAAAUUGUCCUGACCCUUUUCACAAGAUGGCGCCGAAAGCGAAGAAGGAAGCUCCUGCCCCUCCCACAGCUGAAGCCAAAGCGAAGGCUCCGAAGGCCAAGAAGGCAGUGUUGAAAGGUGUCCACAACCACAAAAAAAGGAAAAGAAAAAAAGAAAGAUCUGCCCGUCACCCACCUUCCAGCAGCCCAAGACACUGCGACUCCCGAGGCAGCCCAGAUAUCCUCGGAAGAGCGCCCCCAGGAGAAACAAGCUUAACCACUAUACUAUCAAAUUUCCGCUGACCACUGAGUCGGCCAUGAAGAAGACAGAAGACAACAACACGCUUGUGUUCACUGUGGAUGUUAAAGCCAACAAGCACCACAUCAAACAGGCUGUGAAGAAGCUCUGUGACAUCGAUGUGGCCAAGGUCAACACCUGAUUCGGCCUGAUGGAGAGAAGGCAUAUAUUCAACUGCCUCCUGAUUACGAUGCUUUGGAUGUUGCCAAACUUUCAUCAUAUCAACAAGCGUUUACUAAACAUCUAUUAUGUACCAAGCCCUGUGCUGUACAAUGGAACUGUCUCACAUCAGUAUUCAUUUAAAAAUAGUAUUUAUGAAAAUUUUUCAGAGGCAGUUGGUAAGAAAUAUUUUUUCAACACUAUAACUAUAAAACGAUUGAUUUUAUUACACUAAAAAUAAAAAUAUUUUUUAUUUAGUAGUAAAAAAUGACUUUAUUUUUUCAUUUUACAAAGGUGUUCUAUUUUUAAUAAGUUGACUUAAAGCCUUUUACUUAAUAGUCAAGUUUUACAAGGAUGAAGAAAUGCAGGUUUUUCUCUGCUCUUAUCAUACUAAUUGUAGUUAACUGAAAAGUCUACAGUUGUUUUUAGCAAAUCAGUGGUUUAAGUUUGUCUAAGUUAUUGUUGGUUCAAUAAGCAGGGAGGACCUCAACUGUCAUUCUAAUCAUGUUUCAACUAAUUACAUUACAGUGUUUAUUAUUUUUAUUAUUAUUAUUAUUAUUUUUUUUUUUUGAGACGUCGUCUCGCUCUGUAGCCCAGGCUGGAGUGCAGUGAUGCGAUCUCGGCUCACUGCAAACUCCGCCUCCUGGGUUCACGCCAUUCUCCUGCCUCAGCCUCCCGGGUGGCUGGGACUACGACUACAGGCGCACGCCACCACGCCCAGCUAAUUUUUUGUAUUUUUAGUAGAGAUGGGGUUUCACUGUGUUAGCCAGGAUGGUCUGGAUCUCCUGACCUCGUGAUCCGCCCGCCUCAGCCUCCCAAAGUGCUGGGAUUACAGGCGUGAGCCACCGCGCCAGGCCACAGUCUUUUUUUUUAAGACUAUUUUUUCCUUGCUCUUUAAAGGAAUCCAAAGUUCUCCUAGUAAGUUGAGCACCUAGAGAAACUUUAUCAAGACUUACUCCCUGAAUUACUGCCACAUCAUACAAAAUAGAAGCUUUAUAACCUGAAGAAGUUUAUGUAACUGCACAACUGCUCACUGCCAUGCUAUUAGCUACGUUAACGGUUUUGUCAAAUAAAUGGAAUGUAAAAUUUAAAAAAAAGUCUAAAAGUCAGGCUUUGCAAGAAUUUAAAGAAAAAGUGAAUUCCUAAUUUCAACAUUAACAGAAGAAAACUUUAAACUUAUUCCCACAAAGGGCAGACAUGAAUUCUCAACAAUACAUCCUUGGAGGUGAUUGCAAACAUUAUAUAGGUUUGGACCCAAAUACUGGAAUUCUUUACUCAUUAAAAUUUGCAAUUGAUAAAACAGAUUUGGGUUAAAAGAGAAAAGGAGAAAGGAAGAAACAAAGAAAAGCCAGUUUUCAAAUUGUCUUCAAUUCUGGUAUCUACAUGUCAAGACAUAAACAGAUGCUGGAUAAGGUCCAAAGAAACUAAAAUGAUCACAAAAUCAUUGAUUGCUGUAUGAGGUAAAUUACAACCGAGGGUUAUGACUUCUCAGUAUGGAAAGGGCAACGCAAAAGGCAGAUUAAAAGAGUAUAUAGUGUUGUGAACAGUAUGAGGGGUGUGUCCUACUUGAAUUUGUUCACUAAAUUUCAAAAUUCUAGAAGAAAAGCAAUACCAACUUAUACUUGAAAUAAUUUAGGGCAAAUAAAAGAAUGUUUUAAGAGUUGAUAGAAAACUUGUCAAUCUUACCAUAAAAAGUAGCAUAAAGCUAAAAUUAUAACAGUUUGAAGAAGGAUUUAGUUGUUUUUUAAGGAUUUAUAGACAAAGUAAUCUCGCAGUUCCAUUUGGGUGGGGAGAGAAAACAGAUAACUUUUUUUAAGGUUAUCGCAAAGGAUAGACGUGAAUGCUCACAAUACAUCCUUGGAGGUGCUUGUAAACAUUUUAUAGGUUUGGAUCCAAAUACUGAAAUUCUUUACUCUUAUUAAACUUUGCGAUUGAUAAAUUAGAUUUUGGUUAAAAGAGAAAGGGGGAAAGGAAGAAACAAAGAAAGAGAAGCCAGUUUUCAAAUGAAAGUCAUAGCUUGCUGCCCAGAAUUUCAAAUCCGUCUCAUGCCUUGAAAGUAGUAGCAAUCCAGGGUUUCAAGAACUUUUAACAAUCAUGCUUCUAUCUGAAGGGGAAAAAGGGUUCACUGUAUAGUAAUUAGAUGCUUAACAGUCUUGACUUAUUUAAGCUGCCUUCCUAUUUUCCCCAUUGACACAGGUAGCAAGGAUGCUGACUCAGAUUUCUCUUCAGGCCUGCCUGGUUAAUCUUCCUGUGCUCUCCUUUGUAUAGACAAAUAAGCAGAAUCUGAAUGUCUUCUUCACAAGUUUCUCUAACUACUCAAUAGCAAGCUGAGCCAUUUCUUCUACUCUUCAUGAAUCUGUCAUCAUUGCAAAGUGAAAAAUCAAAGAUCUCAUAAUUUCUCUGCAAAAAAUAACUCGAUUAGUAUAAACUUACAGUUUCCAUUUUUAACAUAAUAUCAGGAAAUAUUAAGUGCUUUUCAACCCUAAUAUAAAUAUCCAGAUUUUCUAAAGCUUUUGCUUGAUUGAUUUGUUAUGUCACUAGGAACAUCAAACAGUUUCCUUGAGAAAAAUAGAUCUUGAAAAAUCUAUUUUAAGUUUGGAAAAUAUUUCUGACCAUUUUUAGACAGCAAAGGUGCUGAGGUCAAAUCACAUUGCACAAGAGCAAAUAAUCAGUUACUUCAAAAAAACACUUGUUAAGCUUGCUACCAAAACAAAACAAAACUAUUUUAUUUUGUUGAGAGUACCAUGAAAAGAGCAGGUGCUAGUAACGAAGAAAAAUACCAAAUCUCACCUAAGGCUACAGCAGCUUACUAAAAAUAUGAUAAAUUUCACAGGGACCAGGCAAGGUAAUGACAGUGAGCUAUAAUAUUGACUGCAUGAUUAAACCUCAAAUGCCUGCUGAUGCAGCAGUUCAUUACUAAGUAUUUACGUGUACUCAUCUGUGGUCUGUCGAAUUAAAAUCUUUUAACAAACUAUGCUAAUUUCCUACAUUAAAAAUAUAUUAAUCUAAGCUACUUAAAGUAUACUUAGGUAACAAUUAAGUGACACUUGAAAUGCUUUAAGUUUAUAAUUUGUUGUCCAGAUUUUGUGCCUGAAUAAUGGUGCUGAAAAGUAAAAAUAAUUUCUCAUCCUUUCUCCUGAAAUUUCUCCCUGUUCUUUCAAGAAUCCAAACAACAGGAUUUCAUUCCCUGUGCUGAGCCUCCUUUCAGUUUCCUCUUCCUACCUAUGUCUCAGCUGAAAACUUAAGACCAUUCUACAGCCAAUGGUUCCACCUUCUGCAGCUGUCGUCUAAAUUCCAAAUGCAGCCAUGUCAAGGCAUCUGCACAUGGCAGCUGUAAAAGAAACACUGGCACUUUACUGCUGAGAGGAAAGGUAGUGCCAUUUUUUGAGCAUCGGUACCCUCCCAGAGAGGAUGACAGCUGGCAACUCUGUCCUACAGAAAACAGGAAAGCAAGAGAAACAUACACAGAAAUGCCUACAUAUGAUGUCACUCGGUAGCCACAGCCCUAAAAGUAUCCCAGAAAGAGGGCAAAUUAGCUGUAAAGCUAAAGCAAAAAAUUUUCCUGAACAGUAUUUGGUUACAAGGACAAAUAAAAUUCAUUUAUAUCCAU